CAAAACCCACAUAAAUACUUCAGUUUUAGCAGGCCCUAAAUCAGCACUUUGAAUAAUGCCUGCUGCGACGAUUAUUUUGCUUGGGAACAGAAUUAAUUACAUGUCGGGGGCCAACAUGUUUGAGCUGUUUGGGUACCAUUUCCUGUCUUGAUUACGACUUCACUUCCCUUGGUGUGUGUUGAUAAGGUACACACAGAUUUGAUCAUGGAUCCUCCAUCACAU
rnacentral:lncRNA from 1 species